ensembl:lncRNA
GUCUUAGGCACAGGGUUCUCCAGGCCUUUUUGAGGACUGUGAGAGGCUUCCUGUUCCCAGGGUCUAGUCUGCUGGGAGUGAUUGAAAAUCUUCGUGGAAUAGUGGGGGCAGGUAAUGGGGGAUCGGCUGGGACGUAGCCAGAAAAACUGGUCUUGAGCUGCUCAUGAACGGUCAGGUGACCAGUGGCGUCUGCCUACAGCAUCUUCUGGAAGAGGCAAUUAUGUGCUUGGGAACAGUGCAUUCAUUCUUCUUGAUCCAGAAGUCAGUAAGUUUUAGGCAAGAGAUCUCAAAGGUGAGCUGCCCUUACUAACAUGACGUACCCAGUGGACCCCACGACCACCUAGAAAUGCUGCCUUUUCUUGCUUACACCUCAGGAAUCUGUUGUUUAGUCGCUAAGUAGCAUCCGACUCUUUGCCUUCUCCAUCCAUGGGAUUUCCCAGGGAAGAAUACUGGAGUGGGUUGCCAUUUCCUUCUCCAGGGGAUCUGCCCAACCCAGGGAUCAAACUCAGGUCUCCUGCAUUGGGAGGCAAAUUCUUUACCACUGAGCUACUAGGGAAGCACUAGGUAUUUAGAUAGGCUCUUCUGCUCCCCAACAUAUUCAUCUUUGGUUGCCAGUCCAAAUCUCCUAUUUUCACCUCCACAUCCUCAUUCAGGAAGACUCUGCCCAGCUUGAGAUCCUGGUGAACAACCUGGUUUGGGUGCAGUCAAGGACUAUCUUGACUGCAUAGACUUCCCCGGUGUCUCAGAUGGUAAAGCAUCUGGCUACAAUGUGGGAGACCCAGGUUCGAUCCCUGGGUUGGGAAGAUCCUCUGGAGAAGAAAAUGGCAACCCACUCCAGUACUCUUGCCUGGAAAAUCCUAUGGACAGAGGAGUGUUGUAGGCUACAGUCCAUGGGGUCACAAAGAGUUGGACACAACUGAGCGACUUCACUUUCACUUUCACUUUCAAGGACUAUCUGCCUCAGGUAGCAGCGGGUCUCGUCCUGGCUUAUGGAUUUCCUCCACUGAUGUAGCUCCAAGAGAGAUCUCCAGCAGCAGAGCCCCAACAUGACCAACAUGAAGUUCACAUCCUCAAAAAAGCUGUGGAAGCCUCAGACUAGAUGCUGGCAGGCAAAGGGGCAGUGAAUAGACCUCUCCCAGGUCAUCGUCACCCUCUGGUGCGGCCUGAGCUGCAGCGACUUAGGUAGAUCUUGCUCGCAAAUGCCUCCUUGGGCAGAGGGGAAGUCAAGGGAAGGUGGUUUUAUCAGAUUAACUCUGACCAGUAAAAACGCAGUCUCCCAGCCUCUGGGAGCAAGCUGACCCAGCUGCCUGUGUACCCAGUGGUUUCCAGGCUGGUGGGCAGUUGUUUUUCCUCCAAAGCCUUGGCUAGCUCUGCAUCUCACCCGAGGGCUGCGGUUUGGGGAAUGUUUUGAGUUGAAACAUUCAAGCCCCUCGUGGUAUUCGGAGUUCUGAGACCCUUCUGUGCUAAAAGGAAAAAUGAACGGUCUAUUUAGAAACUGCUAACAAUUCACAGUGUAAAGAAAAGGCCACAAUUCGGCAGCUGACGGGCUGGUGUUCUAAGGGUGGUCCCAGG